GCAGAAAAAGCUCCAGGAGAAUAUGAAACUUGUACGUGAAACUUUAAAAGAUGUUCAGAAGUUGAUACUAGAGGAGAAGAAGGUACCUCGGACAUGGGCUGUCCUGUGGACAAAUCUCGACGGGUGCAGUGCCAUUAUCCAUAUGAAUUUACUGAUGACCGAAAGAGGACUAUCACUUUCGCAGAUACUUCCUCAGGUCAGAUGUAUGCUGUUUAUACCUCUGGAAGUCUUCACUACAUUAAUGGGAUGGAUUUGUCUUUUACACGACUGGAUAUGGAUGGCAUGUCUGAAGAAGAGCAAGAAGAUCCCAUCUUUGCCUGUUACUGUGUGCCAGUUGAAAGGGAGAACUCGAUUAGCAAUUACCCUUCUAAACCCUCAAUAGAAUGGCAUUAGGAACAGAUAGAUGCCUGGGCAAACUAAGGACAGAGUUUCAGGAGGGUAUUGAAACUAUAUUCCACUUGUUCACUAGUUACGUGUGUAUCAGGGUAAAAUGUCAGUUUUGGUAAUUAAGAACUUAGUGGAAUCUUGUAUUGUCUUCUCCUUACUUCAACUAUGUCUAGAACAAAUGUGAUCUGCUGAAGAAAAUAAGCUUUAAAGCUUGCCUUCCCCCCUCUCCCACCUAUUACAUUUCCAUCUUGGGAUAUCAUUGAUGGGAAAUGGGUGCUGGACUUUGGAGUAAAGGAAAGACUUGUUGAUUCUCACCUCAGGUACCCGACACACAGGUUGUGCCACAGAUUGAUUCUUACAAAAUAUCACACAAUGUAUAUGAAUAAACAUUUGGUGGGGGGAAGUUUACA
rnacentral:lncRNA from 1 species